rnacentral:rRNA from 1 species
GACGAACCGUGCGAACGUUGUUCGGAAUCAUUGGGCUUAAAGGGCGCGUAGGCGGGCCCGCAAGUCAGGGGUGAAAUCCCACGGCUCAACCGUGGAAGUGCCUCUGAUACUGCGGGCCUCGAGGGGGGUAGGGGCGUGCGGAACUUCCGGUGGAGCGGUGAAAUGCGUAGAUAUCGGAAGGAACACCGGUGGCGAAAGCGGCGCGCUGGACCCCUUCUGACGCUGAGGCGCGAAAGCCAGGGGAGCAAACGGG